rnacentral:rRNA from 1 species
AGUCGAACGAAGUAGCAAUACUUAGUGGCAGACGGGUGAGUAACAUGUAGGUAUCUGCCCUUUGGCCUGGAAUAACACGAGGAAACUUGUGCUAAUACCGGAUAAGUCUUCACGGAGAAAGCUUUAUGCACCAUUGGAUGAGCCUGCACUUGAUUAGUUUGUUGGUAGGGUAAUGGCUUACCAAGACUGUGAUCAAUAGCUGAUUUGAGAGGAUGAUCAGCCACAUUGGGACUGAGACACGGCCCAAACUCCUACGGGAGGCAGCAGUGGGGAAUCUUGCACAAUGGAGGAAACUCUGAUGCAGCGAUGCCGCGUGAGUGAAGAAGGCCUUUGGGUUGUAAAGCUCUUUCGUCGGGGAAGAAAAUGACUGUACCCGAAUAAGAAGGUCCGGCUAACUUCGUGCCAGCAGCCGCGGUAAUACGAAGGGACCUAGCGUAGUUCGGAAUUACUGGGCUUAAAGAGUUCGUAGGUGGUUGAAAAAGUUGGUGGUGAAAUCCCAGAGCUUAACUCUGGAACUGCCAUCAAAACUUUUCAGCUAGAGUAUGAUAGAGGAAAGCAGAAUUUCUAGUGUAGAGGUGAAAUUCGUAGAUAUUAGAAAGAAUACCAAUUGCGAAGGCAGCUUUCUGGAUCAUUACUGACACUGAGGAACGAAAGCAUGGGUAGCGAAGAGGAUUAGAUACCCUCGUAGUCCAUGCCGUAAACGAUGUGUGUUAGACGUUGGAAAUUUAUUUUCAGUGUCGCAGCGAAAGCGAUAAACACACCGCCUGGGGAGUACGACCGCAAGGUUAAAACUCAAAUGAAUUGACGGGGACCCGCACAAGUAGUGG